UCGAGCGAGCGGAACUAACAGAUUUACUUCGGUAAUGACGUUAGGAAAGCGAGCGGCGGAUGGGUGAGUAACACGUGGGGAACCUGCCCCAUAGUCUGGGAUACCACUUGGAAACAGGUGCUAAUACCGGAUAAGAAAGCAGAUCGCAUGAUCAGCUUUUAAAAGGCGGCGUAAGCUGUCGCUAUGGGAUGGCCCCGCGGUGCAUUAGCUAGUUGGUAAGGUAAAGGCUUACCAAGGCGAUGAUGCAUAGCCGAGUUGAGAGACUGAUCGGCCACAUUGGGACUGAGACACGGCCCAAACUCCUACGGGAGGCAGCAGUAGGGAAUCUUCCACAAUGGACGCAAGUCUGAUGGAGCAACGCCGCGUGAGUGAAGAAGGUUUUCGGAUCGUAAAGCUCUGUUGUUGGUGAAGAAGGAUAGAGGUAGUAACUGGCCUUUAUUUGACGGUAAUCAACCAGAAAGUCACGGCUAACUACGUGCCAGCAGCCGCGGUAAUACGUAGGUGGCAAGCGUUGUCCGGAUUUAUUGGGCGUAAAGCGAGCGCAGGCGGAAGAAUAAGUCUGAUGUGAAAGCCCUCGGCUUAACCGAGGAACUGCAUCGGAAACUGUUUUCCUUGAGUGCAGAAGAGGAGAGUGGAACUCCAUGUGUAGCGGUGGAAUGCGUAGAUAUAUGGAAGAACACCAGUGGCGAAGGCGGCUCUCUGGUCUGCAACUGACGCUGAGGCUCGAAAGCAUGGGUAGUGAACAGGAUUAGAUACCCUGGUAGUCCAUGCCGUAAACGAUGAGUGCUAAG
rnacentral:rRNA from 1 species